GGGUUGUGAGGUUAAGCGACUAAGCGUACACGGUGGAUGCCCUGGCAGUCAGAGGCGAUGAAGGACGUGCUAAUCUGCGAUAAGCGUCGGUAAGGUGAUAUGAACCGUUAUAACCGGCGAUUUCCGAAUGGGGAAACCCAGUGUGUUUCGACACACUAUCAUUAACUGAAUCCAUAGGUUAAUGAGGCGAACCGGGGGAACUGAAACAUCUAAGUACCCCGAGGAAAAGAAAUCAACCGAGAUUCCCCCAGUAGCGGCGAGCGAACGGGGAGCAGCCCAGAGCCUGAAUCAGUGUGUGUGUUAGUGGAAGCGUCUGGAAAGGCGCGCGAUACAGGGUGACAGCCCCGUACACAAAAAUGCACAUGCUGUGAGCUCGAUGAGUAGGGCGGGACACGUGGUAUCCUGUCUGAAUAUGGGGGGACCAUCCUCCAAGGCUAAAUACUCCUGACUGACCGAUAGUGAACCAGUACCGUGAGGGAAAGGCGAAAAGAACCCCGGCGAGGGGAGUGAAAAAGAACCUGAAACCGUGUACGUACAAGCAGUGGGAGCACAGAGCAAUCUGUGUGACUGCGUACCUUUUGUAUAAUGGGUCAGCGACUUAUAUUCUGUAGCAAGGUUAACCGAAUAGGGGAGCCGAAGGGAAACCGAGUCUUAACUGGGCGUUAAGUUGCAGGGUAUAGACCCGAAACCCGGUGAUCUAGCCAUGGGCAGGUUGAAGGUUGGGUAACACUAACUGGAGGACCGAACCGACUAAUGUUGAAAAAUUAGCGGAUGACUUGUGGCUGGGGGUGAAAGGCCAAUCAAACCGGGAGAUAGCUGGUUCUCCCCGAAAGCUAUUUAGGUAGCGCCUCGUGAAUUCAUCUCCGGGGGUAGAGCACUGUUUCGGCAAGGGGGUCAUCCCGACUUACCAACCCGAUGCAAACUGCGAAUACCGGAGAAUGUUAUCACGGGAGACACACGGCGGGUGCUAACGUCCGUCGUGAAGAGGGAAACAACCCAGACCGCCAGCUAAGGUCCCAAAGUCAUGGUUAAGUGGGAAACGAUGUGGGAAGGCCCAGACAGCCAGGAUGUUGGCUUAGAAGCAGCCAUCAUUUAAAGAAAGCGUAAUAGCUCACUGGUCGAGUCGGCCUGCGCGGAAGAUGUAACGGGGCUAAACCAUGCACCGAAGCUGCGGCAGCGACGCUUAUGCGUUGUUGGGUAGGGGAGCGUUCUGUAAGCCUGUGAAGGUGUACUGUGAGGUAUGCUGGAGGUAUCAGAAGUGCGAAUGCUGACAUAAGUAACGAUAAAGCGGGUGAAAAGCCCGCUCGCCGGAAGACCAAGGGUUCCUGUCCAACGUUAAUCGGGGCAGGGUGAGUCGACCCCUAAGGCGAGGCCGAAAGGCGUAGUCGAUGGGAAACAGGUUAAUAUUCCUGUACUUGGUGUUACUGCGAAGGGGGGACGGAGAAGGCUAUGUUGGCCGGGCGACGGUUGUCCCGGUUUAAGCGUGUAGGCUGGUUUUCCAGGCAAAUCCGGAAAAUCAAGGCUGAGGCGUGAUGACGAGGCACUACGGUGCUGAAGCAACAAAUGCCCUGCUUCCAGGAAAAGCCUCUAAGCAUCAGGUAACAUCAAAUCGUACCCCAAACCGACACAGGUGGUCAGGUAGAGAAUACCAAGGCGCUUGAGAGAACUCGGGUGAAGGAACUAGGCAAAAUGGUGCCGUAACUUCGGGAGAAGGCACGCUGAUAUGUAGGUGAAGCGACUUGCUCGUGGAGCUGAAAUCAGUCGAAGAUACCAGCUGGCUGCAACUGUUUAUUAAAAACACAGCACUGUGCAAACACGAAAGUGGACGUAUACGGUGUGACGCCUGCCCGGUGCCGGAAGGUUAAUUGAUGGGGUCAGCGCAAGCGAAGCUCUUGAUCGAAGCCCCGGUAAACGGCGGCCGUAACUAUAACGGUCCUAAGGUAGCGAAAUUCCUUGUCGGGUAAGUUCCGACCUGCACGAAUGGCGUAAUGAUGGCCAGGCUGUCUCCACCCGAGACUCAGUGAAAUUGAACUCGCUGUGAAGAUGCAGUGUACCCGCGGCAAGACGGAAAGACCCCGUGAACCUUUACUAUAGCUUGACACUGAACAUUGAGCCUUGAUGUGUAGGAUAGGUGGGAGGCUUUGAAGUGUGGACGCCAGUCUGCAUGGAGCCGACCUUGAAAUACCACCCUUUAAUGUUUGAUGUUCUAACGUUGACCCGUAAUCCGGGUUGCGGACAGUGUCUGGUGGGUAGUUUGACUGGGGCGGUCUCCUCCUAAAGAGUAACGGAGGAGCACGAAGGUUGGCUAAUCCUGGUCGGACAUCAGGAGGUUAGUGCAAUGGCAUAAGCCAGCUUGACUGCGAGCGUGACGGCGCGAGCAGGUGCGAAAGCAGGUCAUAGUGAUCCGGUGGUUCUGAAUGGAAGGGCCAUCGCUCAACGGAUAAAAGGUACUCCGGGGAUAACAGGCUGAUACCGCCCAAGAGUUCAUAUCGACGGCGGUGUUUGGCACCUCGAUGUCGGCUCAUCACAUCCUGGGGCUGAAGUAGGUCCCAAGGGUAUGGCUGUUCGCCAUUUAAAGUGGUACGCGAGCUGGGUUUAGAACGUCGUGAGACAGUUCGGUCCCUAUCUGCCGUGGGCGCUGGAGAACUGAGGGGGGCUGCUCCUAGUACGAGAGGACCGGAGUGGACGCAUCACUGGUGUUCGGGUUGUCAUGCCAAUGGCACUGCCCGGUAGCUAAAUGCGGAAGAGAUAAGUGCUGAAAGCAUCUAAGCACGAAACUUGCCCCGAGAUGAGUUCUCCCUGACUCCUUGAGAGUCCUGAAGGAACGUUGAAGACGACGACGUUGAUAGGCCGGGUGUGUAAGCGCAGCGAUGCGUUGAGCUAACCGGUACUAAUGAACCGUGAGGCUUAACCUUACAACGCCGAAGGUGUUU
rnacentral:rRNA from 1 species